rnacentral:misc_RNA from 1 species
CGUCUACUUGCAAUUUCCUAAUAAAUCUACAGCGGCAUAAGUCUUCUGUACUUGAAGAACCAUACAAAUGCACAAAAAAUGGUGAUUCCAGUUACUCCAGUAAUAACAAGGACCCACUUAANNNNNNNNNNNNNUGGGUCAUCAAACAUUGGUAUAGCAAAAUUCAUGCCAAAGAUACCUGCUACCACUCCAAAGAUGGCUACAACAAAGGUUGCUGUUGUGAGUAGAAGCUCAAACUGGAUGAGUUGGUUUCGGACAUUAUCCAGCUGUAUGUUGAUGAAAUCCUCUGUGUCGUCAAUAUACUCCUUCAACGAUGUCAACUUGUUUAGGGUGC